ACCUACGUCCUUUUGGCGCUCUCACCGCCAUCUCCCCCCUCCCCUGUCCGAGCGACCCCACCUCCCCCCGGCUCUCCAGCCCCCUACAACCUCGGAGCGGCACUAGGGAAGAAAAAGGGUUCUUCCCUGCACGACGUGACCGCCUCCAUUCCCCGUCCUACUCCUCUCCCUCUCCCGCCUCGGGGUUCCCUCUCACCUAUUCCCUCGUCCUCCAACCCCCAUCCCCUUCGAACUCCUAUACCCCCCCGAGCCCUGCCCUACAAACUCAGCUCAAAGCGCUCUUAGGCAAUAAUUUCCACCGCUUCGGCGCACCGCAGUGCGCCUUCUGAAACCGACAGGAUCGGGUGGUCGGGUCCCACCCUGUCCCAGCCUCUCCGCGGGGUGCCCAGCGCCGUGAAGGAGCGCAGACGCGCCCAGAAGUCCACCACUGCCCGGGCGCAGGCCCGCUCCAAGGGGGUUGCUGCGGGUGCUGCUGCCGCCGCGCCUGCCGUUGCUGCUACCGCCCCUGUCGCCGUGUUCCGCUCCUGCGUUUGGUCCUCAUCCCCCGGCGCGUUCAGUGCAGGCCCCGUCUGCGGUCCUGCCCCGUCGGCCUGGAUGAAAAAGUCCGUUAUCCGCCUCUGCCUGGGGCCGGGUACCUGUACCUGCUGCGCGUGCUCCCGGUUCUGUGGUCCUUGGCUCCCAGCUCGUUCCUGCCUCCUGCCCGCUGCCCUCAGGCAGCAUCUGCCAACCUCCAUGGCAGACAGGGCCGACAGGGCGAUUAUAUCCCAUACGGCCUGUUCGCAUCCGGUUGGGGCCAGUAAUAGCCAGAGUUGCUUUCGGGUGACUCCCCCUACUGCCGCUUCCUGAGAAGACUGUAGAUGCCGGUCGAUCUGUGCCCGCACCGCCUGCGCCACCGGGCAUUCCCAAAAGUGAUGCAUGCGUGGCGAGCAUGGCUGACCAGCUGCUCCACCGAAUCCGCCACAUCCACAGCGUUCUGGAGUCAUGCGGGCUAGGUGCGUGUUGCCCGGUAGGGGGACGCCAUCCACUGCGAGCCGCCAUAACGUCUCCUUAUUCUCAUUCUCCCAUCGUACCCCGGACCACACUCGGGCCUGCGUCGCCCUGAAUAGGCUGAUUUCCGAGGGGGGCGGCGGCGACGGGCCCUGAGGAUCCGUCGCCUCCCGCACAAAUUCAGCUACCAGGCNNNNNNNNNNNNNNNNNNNNNNNNNNNNNNNNNNNNNNNNNNNNNNNNNNCCCGGGGGCAAUGGUCGCGCCUUACCAGUAGUGCCAAACCCUAUAUGUAUGUAUGUAUGUACGUAUGUAUGUAUGUAUGACUUAGAUUACACUGUGGGCCGCGAGAGCCGGGGGCCGAAGCCGAAACACAGCGCAAGGGUCGGGAGCACACAGCACAAGUCGGUUAGUCUUGUGUGCUCCCGACCCCGACUCAGACUGCCAACACUCUACGCAGCCACUCCGCAGCCACCCCAUCUGGGGAUGGCGCUGCAGUGAAAACACCACGAAGGGCUCUCAGGUCCCGCUAGAGCGAGUCCACAAGUCUCAGCUAGGGCAAAGUCAAAGGCUCUCUGAAACAACCCCCCCAAACACCACCAACGAAAACGGGAUUCGAAGGGAAAACAAACAAACAAACAAACACAAAUUCGGUUGGGGCAGUCCCGGCAGGGGAGGGCUCCUGAUAUACCUAACAGGCCAACAAAAAACCUCCAAUAGAGAAAGGCUAAGAGAGCUCGACACCACAAGACGUCUUGCAACCACCUUAAAACAACUGACCUCCACCACCUGUCCCUUCCUGGGCUGGUCCAGGGGAGAAGUAGCCUUAUAAAGAAAAGGGAUCCCGCACAAGCCUGAUCACCACUGCAGGGGCCCGGGAUAGUCCGGCGAAACGACCAAAGCGUUAGCGUUGCCACGACACACAGCUCCUAGACCCUCCAGAAAACCGCAGGGGGAGGAUUGUAGCCCGCGUGGCGCCUCCCCUUUACCGCCACUAACCUGAACGGUUGGUCCUCCAGAAACCUAUUCACCCUGUCUCGUACUGCACCGCUCUCACCUUCGUCCCUCACCAAGCAACCCAGUCCCACAGAGAAGACGUGUCUAGAUAGAAUGGCCCUCCUCGGGCCACACCUCCCCCUCAUCCGAGCCCCGCUACCACCACCAGACCUCAACCUCCCAAACACCAGAAAACCUACGUCCUUUUGGCGCUCUCACCGCCAUCUCCCCCCUCCCCUGUCCGAGCGACCCCACCUCCCCCCGGCUCUCCAGCCCCCUACAACCUCGGAGCGGCACUAGGGAAGAAAAAGGGUUCUUCCCUGCACGACGUGACCGCCUCCAUUCCCCGUCCUACUCCUCUCCCUCUCCCGCCUCGGGGUUCCCUCUCACCUAUUCCCUCGUCCUCCAACCCCCAUCCCCUUCGAACUCCUAUACCCCCCCGAGCCCUGCCCUACAAACUCAGCUCAAAGCGCUCUUAGGCAAUAAUUUCCACCGCUUCGGCGCACCGCAGUGCGCCUUCUGAAACCGACAGGAUCGGGUGGUCGGGUCCCACCCUGUCCCAGCCUCUCCGCGGGGUGCCCAGCGCCGUGAAGGAGCGCAGACGCGCCCAGAAGUCCACCACUGCCCGGGCGCAGGCCCGCUCCAAGGGGGUUGCUGC
rnacentral:lncRNA from 1 species